UGGGGAAUAUUGGGCAAUGGGCGGAAAGACCUGACCCAGCGACGCCGCGUGAGGGAAGACGGUCUUCGGAUUGUAAACCUCUGUUGACAGGGACGAAGGAAGUGACGGUACCUGUCGAGGAAGCCACGGCUAACUACGUGCCAGCAGCCGCGGUAAUACGUAGGUGGCGAGCGUUAUCCGGAUUUACUGGGUGUAAAGGGCGUGUAGCCGGGCCUUUAAGUCAGAUGUGAAAUCCGCGGGCUUAACCCGCGAACUGCAUUUGAAACUGAGGGUCUUGAGUAUCGGAGAGGUAAUCGGAAUUCCUAGUGUAGCGGUGAAAUGCGUAGAUAUUAGGAAGAACACCAGUGGCGAAGGCGGAUUACUGGACGACAACUGACGGUGAGGCGCGAAAGCGUGGGGAGCAAACAGGAUUAGAUACCCUGGUAGU
rnacentral:rRNA from 1 species